UACGUAGGGUGCGAGCAUUGUCCGGAAUUACUGGGCGUAAAGAGUUCGUAGGCGGUUUGUCGCGUCGUCUGUGAAAACCCAUCGCUCAACGAUGGGCCGGCAGGCGAUACGGGCAGACUUGAGUACUGCAGGGGAGACUGGAAUUCCUGGUGUAGCGGUGAAAUGCGCAGAUAUCAGGAGGAACACCGGUGGCGAAGGCGGGUCUCUGGGCAGUAACUGACGCUGAGGAACGAAAGCGUGGGGAGCGAACAGGA
rnacentral:rRNA from 1 species